rnacentral:misc_RNA from 1 species
CGCCCAGAUAUCAACAUUUGAAUUGUCCUGCAUGCAAAGAGCUCCUUGGUUCGAAAAAUGUUCUUGGAGAAUCUAUGAGUGAGAAUUACAGUCUCCUGAAACCUGGAAUUUGCAAAUCCGCGAGGAAAAUCAAUCCCAGCAUUGAUAAUUUCCUCGUCGACAACUUUAGAUUGCUGAAAGAGCUGUUGAAGAGUGAACUUGCCACUUCUACUAUCACCUUCCUCUGCUUUCUUGAUCUGCUGUUGGGCUGUCCAUACUGGAGUACUUUCUGGCUGCUGCUGCUGAAUGGCUUCAAUGGAUUCGAUAGCGAAUUCAACAACAUUAACAUGAAGAGGAAGCUGCAUCCCCAUUGUCCUCAAAUGAACUCCAAGCUGAUCCACCGUUCCAUGAUGUAAAAUCGACCCAUUAGCCAUCAAAAGUAUUGAAUUGAACAGCUUCACAAUGC